AAUUUAUUUAUUUUUGGCUCAAUCACAUGUCUUUGUAAAAUGACUGUAAUAUCUGUGUAAUUUUCAAUAGUCUGAUGUGUAAUCUAAGAACUUGAUUACGAGAGGCCUAUUUAGACCCCUGUUAAUACAAAAAUGAUGCAGGCUCUGGUAAGGCAGAUUAGAGAUCGGAUGGAAGCGUUUUAUGGUCAACCAGCUUGUCUCACUGACUUAAUAAUUGCUGGCGUCCCCAGAGAGCACCUUAGCCCCUGGCAAAACAGCUGCAGGAAGUCUGAGUCAAGUCCUCUAAGCAGGACACAGCGUUCCAAUCAAAGAGACGCCAGUCCGCCGGCAACCAACUGUUACACCCUGGGAUCCGGAUAUCAAAAAUUACAUCAGAGCACUCGCGUGAAGUGUCUGUAAAGGUCAAACGGAAGACAUCACGACUACCGACAGGGUCUUUUACCUCCCCACCACUCAGUGAAAUCUACAGGUCGAAAGGGAGGCCAAGUCGACGAUUAAAAAAGGAAAAAACAACCCUAAGAGACAGUAAUCACUGUAAUGAUGAAGAGGAAACUGACAUUUUGAGAACAGAGUGGGACCACUUUGCUGUACUCCUUUCAAAGCUGAAGCUGUGCUGGAAGCUGAGACAUGCUGCGUUUAGCAAUACAUCCAGGAAACUGGCAGAGGACUGGAGUUGUGAAGCUAUAUUGAGAGACAUUAGAAGAUCUAUUCAGAUGGUAAAUAAAUGUAAUACCAAGCAGUUGCAAGGCAAUGGACAUCAUUUGUCAUCAAUCGCUGAUGUCGAGCACUAAAACAGCUACCCUUUAGAAGUGAUCGGCCCGCUUUUAAUCCUAGAGAUGAAGUAUAAGUUUAUGAAAGAUAUGAAGUUGCCAUAGAAAGCACAGCCUAUCCAACACAACGCCAGACAUACCUGUAAAGUGCAGAGUAAAAGGCAAUAAUUAAAAAAAAAGGAGUGUAGAACAAGAAACAUGUAAUAUGGCCGUUUAAGAUAAAAUCUGAAGCUAAAAGCAUUGGCUCAUGGACAAGACGAGUUGUGUCGCGUUUUAUCCAAAUAAGCCUUAUUACAUUUGUUAUUGUGCAUAAUUAGUGCAAUAAUUACACUAGUUGUAUAAGUUGUUUAGCUCUCCAAAUAUCCUAGUAUUUUUGCCAUCGAGGGACCCUUGAGAACAUCUUCUCAGAUCAUCCAAUUAGUAGGCUUAUUGGCGCACGUGCAAUUUGAUUAAUUUGAUAGCUGUCAAGGACUUAAAUAAAGCAUUGAGGAAAGUAGAGGCAGAAAGAUUGUUCCAAACAAAGCUCUCAACCACUCCACUAAUAGGUGGAGUAUCGGUAAUUUUAAAAGGUGUUUAAAAGGAGAGUGAGAGAUCUGAGUAAACUAAAUAUCUGCUCAGUCAAAGUAACUUAUCAACCUCUCUUACAAAGAAUUCAUUUGCACACUCGCACAAAAACACUCUCACACGUACUGAGCAAACGAAAAACAUGUUGCACAUUACCUCUGCCCCGCAUUGAGACAGAAGGCCAUGUGAUUUGGCUUUAUUUGGGAUAAUUGUAGUAAUUGCAUUACCAAAAAACGUCUAUAAAAUGGUCAAUAAUCACAUCGAAUGCAUUACAUCAACAACCCUUCGCAACCAAUUAGUUAUCUAAGCGUACAGUAUACACAAAUUGGUAACGUCAGCAUUUGAGUGCCUGUCUAUCAUUCUCCUCUCGUCGAAGCCUCACACCAAGGCCUAUUUGGCAAAGAUGUACUGAAUGAUGUACCCAAACUGGGCUUUAUCCAGACUUUCACUUAAAAAGUACCUGCCUUUCCACUCCAUUGAUAAAGUGGUAGCUUUUGAGUCACCUCCACUCCAACCACUUUGAUGUUCCCCUACUUAUUCAACUAAGUGUGCCAUUUAUCCGCUCACAACAGUACUUUUUGCGCUAUAGUCUUUGCAGAUUUAGCAGUAUUAGCUUUAUGAUUCCAAUCAGUUCUUGCAAUCCUUAAAUAAGGCAAAACUGGGCUUUUGUAGCCUCCAGAAAGUCUGAAGACUGAAAAUGUUAACAUAAACAGUUAGUUAGUAAGGGACAAGAAACUGCAGUUUAGAUUCAUUGGAAAAUCUAUGGUUUAUAGAAGAUCAUGUUAAUCUUGAAAUAUGCUGACACAGCUGAAACUGAGUUUGUACGCUGCACCUGACGUGCUGCAUGUAAUUAAGAAUAACAGGGAAAAGGACAGAGAAUGGAAAGGGAUGCUUGUCAAAGGAAAAAAACUGAGAGGCCACCGGAGAAGAGACCAAGACAAUUGUGUGAAUCCCCAGCGGUGCUCCACAGAGCAGAACUUAAUGCUAGGCAUCUUAACCCACGCACAGGUACACAUUUCUGCGCAGGGCUUGUAUGUCUCAAUGAGCCUCGCCUUGCCCUGGGCCCAAGCUUAAGAAGCUGACAGAAAUCUAGCUCCCUACUGCGCACGCAUUGAUCGCUAAAAUUGACAGCUAAACACUACACCAGCAGAUUCGUCAACAGCAAACAUGAGUCAACAAGCGGUGUAUUCGCUAAUUAUUAAAGAAAUGUAAAAAGCGAUGCAGAAUGGAUUUUUAAUAGUCUUAAUAACAUCAGUAGGAAUUGAAGACAAAAGCAAUCUUUACUUUUUUUAGGAUGCUGCCACUUUCUGAUUGUAUCAACUGUCAGCUGACUGAAGGAGUUGCAUGGACUCAGUAGCUACAUACUAUCGGACUGAGAAUGAGUGAUGAAGUCAGUGUUAUGUUAACAUUUGAAUGAAUGUGUGAUGAUCAGAACAUCACAAUUCUUGCUGCCUCAACUUUUCUUAAUCUUCUGUGUGACCAUUGAUUUUUUGCUCAAUCUGAGGGCACGCUGUUUCAUGGAUUCCGCGACAUGAAUUUCUUAAGUGGGAUCUUGGAUUUGAAGUUUAUUCUCUGUGGCCUUCAGUGGUUCGAUAUAAAAGUGUCAAUUAAUCGCCUGAAAUGUAAAUUUGUUGUGGUUCAGAGCAGGAUGCCAAAUCUAUGAGCACGAUAUGUUUAAGCAAUGAGUGAUCUUGAAAUAACUGCUCUCAAUGUAUUCUAAUGCGCUAAGCCCAUUAUAGUUGAGUUUGGGACAUAAAAUGGGCCGUGAACCGAACUGUUUCCCCAAAUGAUUGGAAUGGUUUAUUAAGUCUAAACAGUAUUUAUUGGGUGACUGCCUUUCAAAACCUCUAAAUAUGUAGACAUGCAAUAAGCAUAUUUCAUUGCUGAGCAAAACCACACAAUGCUAAAAACUACAAAUAUAUUAUAGAAUAUAAUUUCUAGCCAUGUAUGUGUCAGGGGAUGCGUGGGAGGCAGGACUCAAAUGCAGAGUUUAAAGAAAAAAGACUUUUGACAAUGACGCGACAAGUGACACAAGAGACACACUUCUUAAAUACACUAGGGAGGUGCAGGUGAUUGGACACAAGUGGAAACAAUCAGACAAUCACAGACGAUGACAGGACAAGUUAGGAAGUGAAGUAACCCGGGGAGACAAGAAUCAUAAAACUACAAAAUAAGACAAGAAAUAAACCCACACCAUGACAGUAUGAGGUAUGCUGGCUGGUUGCUUUGUUAGUCUACCACUUUAGAAAAGACUGGUAAAACUCAACAGUAAAUUGAGGACAUGUUGUACAUUUAAAGUCCCAGACCAAUGGAAUGUUAAACAUUUUCCAUUUUGACCAAAUACCAGUGUAACUAACAUUCCAAACAGUCUAGUUGCACAAUUGUCAUCCCCUUUGCCCAAAGCACCUCUGUACAAUACAGACUUUUCAACGUAACUCAACAGUCAAUGAACUCACCAAAAUACAUUUAUGUAACACAGUGAAUUAAUCUUACUAGCUGGAUUGAUAUAUCAGAGCAAAGAUACCAAUAUCAACAACUCCAUUCAUCCAUCCACCUGUAGGUGCAAACCAAGACCAAGUGGCAGCACACAACCAGCUCCUCUUGAGGACAUAGAUACCAAGCCGGCGUUCUGCCACUGUUACUGGUUAGACAUGCAUGUUAAAUGUGGUUCGACUUCCAGACUGACCAGUUUUGGUCCUUAUGUAUGGGCAAACACAGGUCAGUUUUUAUUCAAACAGGCUGAAAGGGCAGGGUCAUAUUUUGCUAUAUUGAUUGUGCUGAUGGCUUCGCAGCACUACAUCCAACCUGUAUUGAAACCGGCAAAAUCUGGAAUUGAUUGCGCCUUGGGCCCGCGGCCCAAUUUGAAAUCUGAAAAUCUUUUGUGGCCCACCCAAACCUUUAAUCACAACUCUGAUCAAAACAUAAACUAGGGAUGAUUGGAUGACCUUAAGAAUUUAACCGAUUAAAAAUGUAUAAAUGUAUAUGUAAACCGACAAUGUAUGUUUUGUAUACCAUUUUCUCUGGAGCUCAUAUAUAUUUACUUUAAUACUACAAGAGGGCGCCCCAUUUGACAUUGUUUUGUUUGGCGGCGCCUUUUGUUGAAUAACGACAGGCGGACAAGAGCAGCCGUUUCGAGCGAGAGCCUUAUUGUUUUAUUAAUCUGUUUGUUUACAUUGUUUGUGCUUCGACAAUUAAUGUUUCACGUGACUAAUGUGCCGCUAGAAUUGUUCAAAUAAUACUUCUCAUAAAACUGAGAAAAAAAUGUGCGUUUUGUAUCUUAUCAAUUAUCAAUCGUUUUAAGUAAAAUACAGAAAUUUGCAACCCUAAUGUUACGACCAGGUCUUAGACGCAACAGGAAAGAGCGAGAACACUAUCAAACUUUGUGUUUGUUUUUUUUGUAUUUAUUUGGGGCUGGGAAAACAGCUUUAGGAGCCAACAAGGCCGAAAUAAAAAACAAAACACCUCUUACCUUUAAAAGGAAACUCACUAACCUAAGCAAACAAAAAAUAAAAUCAAUAUACACCGUUCUUCCCUAACUCCUUAUCUAACAAAAACAGAUGACAAAAAGAAAGAAAAUGUCGUCGACCUCCCUACUUCCCUGCACAAUAUAUACGAGUGUUAAAAAUAGGUUUAAUGUACAACUAUAUACACAGCAAACGGAUCCAAAAGGGCAAGGCAAGAAUCAAGGCCGGAAUAACACGUAAUUUACAUCAUAAAUAUUUUUAUAUUAAUUUCAAACUUUUCAAAAUUUAAAAUUUAAAAACAUUUUAUUUAUUUACUGUAAAUGACCUCUCGCGGCCCACCUGCCGUACCUUCGCGGUCCACCAGUGAGAAUCGCUGCUUUAGGCUAUAGUAUAGCAAAGUCUUAAAAUAUCCUACCCUUUUCAAUUAGUUAUUUCAAUUAGUUAUUUCAUAAAUGAGGGAACCAGUUUGAUGCAAGCUUCCUAAUUGGCUCAUCAAAGUACAUUGCCUUUACAAAACUCAAUGGCAUUAAUACAUUACAUCAGGGGUCCUCAACCACUGGGCCGCAGAGAAAUAUAUGUAUAUUUUUUUAAUUGACUUCAUUUUGUGAGGCAAAAAAGGUUCUGGACUCCUGCAUUAUAUUAUGACGUUGUGAACACUUUUUAUUUGGUUUCCAACACAACAAUGGAACAACUAUUGUCUUACAGGCCAAAAGCUAUUUGGUGCACAACCAACAUGAAUGAAAUCAAAAUUCAUGAAAGUUGGCUUAAUAUCAAGCCUUUUUAAAAAUUUAAUGGAGUCCUUCUACCAUCCUCUGCCAGAACUGCCAUGCCUCCUAAAUGUCAUUAGUAAAAUAGUUGACAGUUCAACAUUGGCCCAGCAGCAGAAACUUAUUGCUAAAGUGUCUAAUUAAUGUUUAUCCCAAUAGUAAUCUUACAAAUAGCCUGACAAGUUUUUUACCAUACCUUAAGGCAAUACGGGCCUUUUUGACGUUCACAAACAGCUCCUUGUUGUUGCAGACAAUAAUAGAGAAAAAAACAAUGUAAGGUUUCAUCAGCACUAGUCCACUAAAAGAGGAAAUAAACAGUAGGGCUGUCAACAAUAAUGUAUUAUUCUAUGCAAUUAAUGUGGCCUAGAUUAUUGCAACAAAAUAUUUUAACGUAGUUAACGUUCGUUUUGUUUACUUCCCGGAAGUAAACUGGAAGUAGAAGUUGACCGCCGAAACGAAACAGCAGUCAGUUACAUCAAAUGGAGAAAGCUUUUUGCAUUGGAAGUAAAACAAACUAACAGAGGCGCGACAUACAGCGAGAACUAUGCAGAGGAAUUACUCCACGUGUCAAACAGAAGGUGGGUGAGUGGCAAAUGGACCACUUUAAGCACCGUUAUGCUAAGCUAGGUGCUAUGCUACGCUAGCAGCUAGGCUACUUCCAUCCCAACAUCUGAAGUCUGCAGAGGACCACCACUGUGUCCCUAAAAUACCGUGGUUUGGAAACGUCCCGGCUAAAUGUGGGGAGAUUGUUGGCACUUCAAAACACAGGAGUCAAAUUGUGGAGAGUUGAAAGCAAAGUGCACGAGGACAGCAGGAGUCGCUUGUUCAACAUGUUCCACCGGGUGGAAUUCUGCCUCAGAGAUGAUCAAAUGUGUGUAGUUUUGUGUUUAAAAUAACAUCAACAAUCAAACAACGUUUAAAGUGAUUACUCAUUAUUUUUAACAUUUAGUCUUCAGAAGAAAAACAAACAUUCAUUCAAAACAACAUUCAUUAAUUGUCAUUAAUCAAGAUUAAUGAAUUUCAAAAUGAUUUGCAAGUAAUUAGUUAAUUUUCUUAAGAAAACAAGAAGUUAUCAAAUAUAUAUCGUUUAACCCUAAACAAACAAACACAACCCCAAAUGCCUUCUAGUUGACAAUGCUCGCAUUAUGCACGUAAAGUAUCAUCGGAGUUUCCGCUUACAACUCCUAAACAGCUAAAAAGCUUUUGGAGCACGAGCACACACAUUGUGCCUCUUUAGCAUUUCACAGUUAAGCUGGCCGAGAAGCUAACUGGCUCCGUGCUUGGAUCAAAUUGUGUGUGUGUGCGUGUGUGCUUGCUUGUCUGAAAGAGUGUGCAACGUAAUUCUUCUCUAUAAUUGUGAUAAAUGAUGUAUUCGGUCUGGUCCUUCAAACACUUCCCACCCAUUCUCUGUAACUUCUUUCUCUUUGUCAAGUUCCAAAACUUUCGGUCCCUUUCUCUCUCUCCCCCACUCUCUUCCUCACCCUCUCAAACGAGGCCUAAUCACAAGAACAAUGCGGAUGUGGUCAUUAGACUCAUAGUGAUGGCAAAGCUAACAAGACAGUGUUAAUCUCUCUCUCUUUCUUUGUUUGUUUCUUUAAUGAGAUGUCAUUAAGGCCCACAGGCUUUUCAGAAUCAGAAUCAAUCAGCUGUAUUGGCUAUGUAUGCAUACACACAAUGAUGGACGAAUAGAGACUAGAUGCGUGUGCAUACAUGGAAUUUGAAUCUGGUUACUCUUUGGUCUCAAUGUAAAUUUACAAGAAAUUUAGAAAAAAAAGAUAAUACUAACAAAAAAAGCAGAUGUAGGUAUAAACAUUCAAUAAUUAUACAAUAUACAUAUACACACACAGACACAUAAGAACAAUCAACUGUACAACAAAGACAACAAUUGAGGUGCAAAGUAUAGUGCAAAUGGUGGGGAUGCUGUCUGACUGGUUAGAUGUUCCUCAUGAAGACGGCAUGCUGGAUGAGGCUGUUCCUGUGUCUGGUGGUUGGUUGGUUUUGGCGCACAGUGCUCUCUAGCACCUAGCAGAGGGAAGGAGAUGGAAAAGGUUGUGUCCAAUGUGUGAAGGGUCUGCACUGAUUUUUUAUGCUGUUCCCUGACUCUAGGAGGUGUACAAGCCCGGGAAAGAAGGCAAGCUGAAGCCAAUGAUUCUCUCUGCAGACCUUUUGAUGUGUUGUAGUCUGUUCCUGUCCUAAAGAAAAGAGACUGGAUGAUGACUGAGUAGAACAGAAAUUCUGGUGGUGCUUCUUCCCGAUGGGGUUGUUGUUAGAGGCCCAUUUCAGGUCCCGGCAGAUUGUGGAUCCCAGAAUUCUGAAGGUUUUGACCACACCUCCAUGGAAGUUUCCCUUGACACCAGUUGAAUGACCUUGAGGAUCCGUGUUCCUAGGGAAUGCGCUGCCAACUUCCAUGGUGCGUUUCUGACAACAAAAAAAAAAUAUAGGUCUGUUUAUGCCUGGGGUGUGUUUUAGUUCAGCUGCAGAGGGGACAAAGUGGGGGAGAGCCUCCCAGCCCGAACAUUGGGGUGGGUGCGGUACCAUUGCCCGACAACUCUGGAGGCAUCCAUUAGCCUGGCAGAGGCCAAUAGCCGGAUGCGCGGUGAGGUAUACAGCAGUAGCCUCUACCAUGGCUUAUACCAGCCCCACAGCUGUCACCCUUCCCCCAGGCCCGCAAUCCACCGGUCCCCCUCCCAACUCCCUGUGAGUUGGGAGGGGGACCCUCUUAACCAACAGGGCAAGUUGGCUGUGUGGGCAGCCCGGAUGUUUGUUGAUGGAGGUGCGGGAAGCCCAGACACCCGCUGAUGUCGGUGCCGCAGGUGAUCUAUAGCUGUGACACAAUGUGGUCAGACACUGCAGACGAAGAGGGGAAACGAGCAAAUUACACUCCACUGAUUCACUCCACUGACUCUACAUUACAUUGUACUCUGCCUUUGACCAAGUGAUUCAAAUCCAUGGUUGGUUGGUGCGUCCUGGCGCAGCACAGUCGUAUCCACACUUUUCAGUGAUUAGGGACAGGCUAUAACGAGUGAGUCAUAACACUCAGGAUAAACAUGUUAGGAAAACACCCCGUUGUUGGAGCCAACGGGAAAGUAUUUUUCCAGCGGCUCCCUAUAACCCGAUAGCUGGCAACAUAGGACAUGGAAAAACACUUGACCGUAUAAAGCCCUGAUUUUAUUGGCCAAAUAUCGGGGGGUAUGUACGCUGCUGGUACGCAUCCUGCUAAUUGUGUCAAAAGGUAAAACACCUGGCCAUACUGAGGGCGCCUUUGCGUCCUCUUUCAUUAAUGGAGGAAAUCAACAUGGACUUCAUCGGGCCAUUUCAUUGGAAUUCACACGGAUAUUGUUUUGUGUUCUUCUGGAUCACGCAACACAGAGGCAGUGCCAUUGCGCAACACUUUUACAAAGAGUGUCGCACAAGCUCUGUUUCAGGUCAUCUCCCGAGUUGGGAUCCUUAAAAAAAUUCUGACUGAC
ensembl:lncRNA